rnacentral:rRNA from 1 species
UGGGGAAUUUUGGACAAUGGGCGAAAGCCUGAUCCAGCAAUGCCGCGUGUGUGAAGAAGGCCUUCGGGUUGUAAAGCACUUUUGUCCGGAAAGAAAUGGCUCUGGUUAAUACCUGGGGUCGAUGACGGUACCGGAAGAAUAAGGACCGGCUAACUACGUGCCAGCAGCCGCGGUAAUACGUAGGGUCCAAGCGUUAAUCGGAAUUACUGGGCGUAAAGCGUGCGCAGGCGGUUGUGCAAGACCGAUGUGAAAUCCCCGAGCUUAACUUGGGAAUUACAUUGGUGACUGCACGGCUAGAGUGUGUCAGAGGGGGGUAGAAUUCCACGUGUAGCAGUGAAAUGCGUAGAGAUGUGGAGGAAUACCGAUGGCGAAGGCAGCCCCCUGGGAUAACACUGACGCUCAUGCACGAAAGCGUGGGGAGCAAACAGG